rnacentral:lncRNA from 1 species
AGACUCAACAAGAGCUCCAGCAAAGACUUUCACUGUAGCUUGACUUGACCUGAGAUUAACUAGGGAAUCUUGAGAAUAAAGAUGAGCUCUGAAAAUUGUUUCGUAGCAGAGAACAGCUCUUUGCAUCCGGAGAGUGGACAAGAAAAUGAUGCCACCAGUCCCCAUUUCUCAACACGUCAUGAAGGGUCCUUCCAAGUUCCUGUCCUGUGUGCUGUAAUGAAUGUGGUCUUCAUCACCAUUUUAAUCAUAGCUCUCAUUGCCUUAUCAGGUGGGUCUACACUUCAUCAAUUCUUUCAAAGCCUCCUAGCUGUAAGCAUUCAUGCCCAGCUGAAAUCAAUAUUAGUUUAGUCUAGUUAAUCAGAAACUAGCUAAUUCAGAAUCAUCCCAUGUACCAUAUAUGGCCAAUUUCCUAAUCAAUACUAAACAUAAUUCCACAAUCCUUGAAUAAUUAAUGUAAUACUUUUAUAAGUAUUAAAAGUAUCUAUGAUUUAUAUAUUACUGUAGAAUAAAAUUGCAUUUGAAAAGAUGUUUACAUCUAGAAUGAAGGGAGCUGAUUUGAAUUCUGAAUAAAUACCUAUUUAGCUAGAAAAAAAUGUGAACUUCAC